rnacentral:antisense_RNA from 1 species
UAUGCUCUCUUCUGGAAGCCCCUCUGCAGCACUACUCUUGGGAGUGGAAAAGGAAGUGGUCAAAGGUCCACCUGCAAAGCAUUUCUCGCCUGCUCUGCGGCCUCCAUUCUGCUGCACACAGACUGGUUCUUCUCCUCUAACUACUGGCCAAAAAGGGAAGGGAGUACAGGCAUCAAAGACAAAUGACCUACAUUUGGGAGCUGAUCUGUCUUGCCCUAAGUUAGGGCCCAGCCCUUCCCUGGGGACCAGGAAAAUCUUUGCUCACCUGGAGAAGCUGCUGGUUCAGCCCAACUUUAUCUAACGCCAAAGCCUCAUUUAAGGCACUGAGCUUGACAGCUGCAGCCCGAAGAUCAGCUACUUCUGUCUUCAGGGUGUUUUCAGAACUCGACAGCUCUGCAACUGACUGCUCUGCCUAAAAAACAAAGAGGGUUGAAGAGUUUCAUAGUUCCAGUUUUCCUGGAAUGGUAAACAGUUCACAUACCCAACA